rnacentral:rRNA from 1 species
CCAAUAGCGUAUAUUAAAGUUGUUGCAGUUAAAAAGCUCGUAGUUGAAUUUUGGGAUCAACACGUCGGUCGUGCCUUCGGUACGCACUAGCGUCGUUGGUUCCUCCCUUCUGACGAACCAUGAUGUCAUUAACUUGGUGUUUUGGGGAGUUAGGACUGUUACUUUGAAAAAAUUAGAGUGUUUAAAGCAGGCAAUCGCUUGAAUACAUUAGCAUGGAAUAAUGAAAUAGGACGUUCGAUCCUAUUUCGUUGGUUUCUAGGAUCAACGUAAUGAUUAAUAGGGAUAGUUGGGGGCAUUAGUAUUCAAUUGUCAGAGGUGAAAUUCUUGGAUUUAUUGAAGACUAACUACUGCGAAAGCAUUUGCCAAGGAUGUUUUCAUUAAUCAAGAACGAAAGUUAGGGGAUCGAAGACGAUCAGAUACCGUCGUAGUCUUAACCAUAAACUAUGCCGACUAGGGAUCGGAUGAUGUUAAUUUUUUAAUGACUCAUUCGGCGCCUUACG